rnacentral:ncRNA from 1 species
UGAAAGUAUGACUCUUGCUUAUUUUAUUUUGCUUAAAUAAGAAGUGUAUAUGUAAUUGUUUAUAUAAAAUUCUUUUGGCAGUACCUGGACCUAUGAUUUAUUAUAUAUUAUUAUUAAUGGUUAUUAUUUUUAAGUUUGUCAUAUAUUGUGCCAGCAGCCGCGGUUAUACAAUAGAUUUAAGUAAAAUUUUAUUAAGCUGUAGUUAAUAUUAUGUAUUUUAAUUAUAUGUAAUUUAUUGAAUAAUUUAGGUGAAAUUAAUUGUUGCUAUUUAUUUAUAAUUAUUAUUUUCAUUUUGAAGCUAUAAAGGUUAUUGGAUAGACCAGGAUUAGAUACCCUGUUAUUUUUCUAUAAAUUAGGGAGGUUUGAGUAGUAGUAGUGUUUUCUGAAACUAAAGGAGCUUGGCGGUAUUUUAGUCUUAUUAGAGGAGCUUGUACAUUAAUCGAUACUCCCCGUAUAUCUUACCUAUUUUUAGUUUGUAUAUCGCUGUCUUCAGAUUAAUCUAGAAGGGGUUUUCAGAAAAAAUAUAUUUUUUAAAGUCAAGUCAAGGUGCAGCGUAUAUUUAGGGAUAUUAUGAGCUACAUUGAUAUGAUUUUAGUUGGAUUUUGUUCUUGUAAUAGUAUGGUGAAAUAGGAUUUAAUUGUAAUAUUAAUUAUUUAAUUAAUGUGAAUUUAGUACUGAAAUAUGUACAUAUCGCCCGUCACUCUCGUUAAUUAGAUGAGAAAAGUCGUAACAAAGUAGGGGUAUCGGAAGAUGUACCUAGAGAAGA